GACGAACGCUGGCGGCGUGCUUAACACAUGCAAGUCGAACGGAAAGGCCCUGCUUUUGUGGGGUGCUCGAGUGGCGAACGGGUGAGUAACACGUGAGUAACCUGCCCUUGACUUUGGGAUAACUUCAGGAAACUGGGGCUAAUACCGGAUAGGAGCUCCUGCUGCAUGGUGGGGGUUGGAAAGUUUCGGCGGUUGGGGAUGGACUCGCGGCUUAUCAGCUUGUUGGUGGGGUAGUGGCUUACCAAGGCUUUGACGGGUAGCCGGCCUGAGAGGGUGACCGGCCACAUUGGGACUGAGAUACGGCCCAGACUCCUACGGGGGGCAGCAGUGGGGAAUAUUGCACAAUGGGCGGAAGCCGGAUGCAGCAACGCCGCGUGCGGGAUGACGGCCUUCGGGUUGUAAACCGCUUUCGCCUGUGACGAAGCGUGAGUGACGGUAAUGGGUAAAGAAGCACCGGCUAACUACGUG
rnacentral:rRNA from 1 species